UACGUAGGGGGGCAAGCGUUGUCCGGAAUCAUUGGGCGUAAAGAGCGUGUAGGCGGCCAGAUAAGUCCGCUGUGAAAUCUCGAGGCCUCAACUUCGAGCUGUCGGUGGAAACUGUCUGGCUAGAGUCCGGAAGAGGAGAAUGGAAUUCCUGGUCGUAGCGGUGAAAUGCGCAGAUAUCAGGAAGAACACCCGUGGCGAAGGCGGUUCUCUGGGACGGUACUGACGCUGAGACGCGAAAGCGUGGGGAGCGAACAGG
rnacentral:rRNA from 1 species